CACAGCCUCACCAGCAUUUGUUGUUAUCUGAUUUCUUGAUAGUCAUUCUUUCUGGAGUAAGAUGGUAUCUCAGUGUUAUUUUAAUUCACAUUUCUCUCAUGGCCAGUGAUGUCAGACACUUUUUCAUGUUUACACAUGACACUCUUCUUACAUAUUCUGAAGAGAUCACCCCUGGCCCGUGACCUCAGCAGGGUUAAUCAUGGCUUAUUCCUUGCUCACCACCCACCUGUCACACAACUUGGCAAAAACACUCUCCCUACACAGGCACUCAGAUGCCUAUUUCAGCCCUGGUCGCCUUGGGGGGACAGGAAGUGAGCUGCGCACUGGAUUAGACGUCACUUCCGCUGUUGCCCUUUCAAAGCUAAUCAUACCGCACAGUCUAACUUUAGAAGUGGGCAAGAACUGCAUCCUUUUUUCAUACCCAGAAAAAAGUGUGGGUAUCCGAGAACAAGUCAGGAGAGGACCCAGCACUCAUCAGAAAUGACAACCCCAGGAGAUGCGGAAACACCACCGAAUGUGGACAAACACCACACAAAGACUGGUAUCUCAACAGUGAAAGACAGGCUGUGGGCGGAUUAAAGGUAACGUACAGCGCUGCUGGUUUUGAUACAGCUGCCCCUACCCUGCGUAACUUGCUUGGA
rnacentral:lncRNA from 1 species